AUCAGAGUGCCCUGACUCUGGAACUGAGGACCCAGAGCCCUGCCUGAGCCUUACCUCCCCACCACCCCCUCAGCUAUCAAAGAAAUUGCUUAGAGGACAGUGUGGCCUAGGCAGGUGGCAGGCCCAGGUUCAGGUCUCAGACCUCCACUUACCAGCUCUGUGACCUUGUGAAGGUGAACCUCCACUCCUCCUCCCCACUUCCCCCACAAUACUGGGGAUGAGUUCAGAAGUGCUCUACCACUGAUCUACACCCAGCCCUUUAAUUUUUAAUUUUGAGCCUUGCUAAUUUGCCUAGGCUGGCUUCAAACCCUCCACCCUCCUGCCUCAGAUCCGGGAUUGCAGGGAUGCACCACUGUGCCCAGCUGUGAACAUAAACUUCUUGAGCUUCAGUUUCCUUAUUGGAAACAGAUGGGGCCACCAGUUGCCACCAGGACUAUCAUGAGGGUAAGGUCGAAAGGGGGAAGUCUGGGUAGGAGCCAGAUGGACCCAGCCUCACACCCUGUUCCUUUCUGCAGUUCCCAAGCCACGCAGCACGUCAGCUCUGCCUCCUGAGACUCUCUUGCAAGCUCAUGCUGCUGUUUCACUGUCUGAGACGUGAUGUUAUUUGGAGAGAAAUAGGGUGCCUCUGAUGAGGAUCGUCAACAGGUUUCCAUAAAUUACAGCAAUGCUAUUUGAGAAGAGGGGAAUCAGGUAUAUUUUUCCCAUGUGAAGAAAAAAAUAAGGGAUUUAGGGCUUGAAUUUACCACAUUGUUAAUGGAUUUUAGCAUAAGCCAAUUGCUUCUGACCCUCAGUUUUUACAGUAUUUUGCAGAGUCUCAGAACAGCCAAUAGGUGUUGGAAUGCAUCCUAAUGGUGCAUCCAGCUCUGCAUGUGGCGUAAGCAGAGCCCAAGUCUCCUCAUGAAACCACCUGAGCAUCCUGGAGGGGAUGGACAGGCCCGGGGUCCAGACACCAUUGCUCCUAGGGAAGACUGCAGGCUGUCCAGCUGCUUUUACUGCAGCACACCAUCUAUCAAGGCUUGUGAGGGCUUCACUCUCUCACUCAUUACAAGCAAAGUCCCCUGGCCAUCUCCCCAGGCCAGGCACAAGGCCAAGGCACACCCCGCAGCGUUUCAGCCUGGAGGACUCACCGAUGUGGAGCCAGUCAGACGCCUGGCUCUGCUGCUCUGCGAGAGGCAGUGGGAAGGGAGAUGGCACAGCCAGGCAGUGCAGAGAGGAGAGCCAUGGAGAGGAGGGAGGGAGGGGCUUCAUCUUGGUCGUCAGCUUUCCCUCUCCAGGACACAAUAACUGGGAAAAACAACUUAGAGGAGGAAAGAUUUAUUUUGACUUGUGGUUUCAGAGAUCUCAGUCUCCAGCUGGUUGUCUCCCUUGCUCGGGGCCUGAGGUGAGGCAGAGCAUUGUGAUGGAAGGGCGUGGGGAGGACAGCUGCUCAGGCCAUGGCCACUGGGAAGGAGAGGAGGAG
rnacentral:lncRNA from 1 species